GGCUCGUUGGUCUAGGGGAGUGAUUCUCGCUUUGGGUGCGAGAGGUCCCGGGUUCAAAUCCCGGACGAGCCC
rnacentral:tRNA from 2 species